rnacentral:rRNA from 1 species
UACGGAGGGGGCUAGCGUUGUUCGGAAUUACUGGGCGUAAAGCGCACGUAGGCGGCUUUGUAAGUUAGAGGUGAAAGCCCGGGGCUCAACUCCGGAAUUGCCUUUAAGACUGCAUCGCUCGAACGUCGGAGAGGUAAGUGGAAUUCCGAGUGUAGAGGUGAAAUUCGUAGAUAUUCGGAAGAACACCAGUGGCGAAGGCGACUUACUGGACGACCGUUGACGCUGAGGUGCGAAAGCGUGGGGAGCAAACAGG